rnacentral:rRNA from 1 species
GAUGAACGCUGGCGGCGUGCCUAAUACAUGCAAGUCGAGCGAACAGACGAGGAGCUUGCUCCUCUGACGUUAGCGGCGGACAGGUGAGUAACACGUGGAUAACCUACCUAUAAGACUGGGAUAACUUCGGGAAACCGGAGCUAAUACCGGAUAAUAUAUUGAACCGCAUGGUUCAAUAGUGAAAGACGGUUUUGCUGUCACUUAUAGAUGGAUCCGCGCCGCAUUAGCUAGUUGGUAAGGUAACGGCUUACCAAGGCAACGAUGCGUAGCCGACCUGAGAGGGUGAUCGGCCACACUGGAACUGAGACACGGUCCAGACUCCUACGGGAGGCAGCAGUAGGGAAUCUUCCGCAAUGGGCGAAAGCCUGACGGAGCAACGCCGCGUGAGUGAUGAAGGUCUUCGGAUCGUAAAACUCUGUUAUUAGGGAAGAACAAAUGUGUAAGUAACUAUGCACGUCUUGACGGUACCUAAUCAGAAAGCCAAGGCUAACUACGUG